ACGGGAUCGAGGGGUGCCUAACACCUUCCCCUCGGUCAACAGAAUUCCUUAGCCGGAAUCUCUGCUCGCAAACCAGUUUAAAGAGUCAAAUGAUUUUGAAAAGGAUUUUCCAAUGGUGACUUGGCACACCAGAUUAUGCCAAGUGGCGACUCUGAAUAAAAAAUGUUAAUAAUCCUUUUCCAAAAUAAAUUUUCAUUUCUUGUCACUUAAAUA
rnacentral:lncRNA from 1 species